CGGGAUGUGGCUCAGACUGGUAGAGCGCCGCGUUCGGGACGCGGAGACCGGAGGUUCAAAUCCUCUCAUCCCGACCA
rnacentral:tRNA from 1 species